GACGAACGCUGGCGGCGUGCUUAACACAUGCAAGUCGUACGGUAAGGCCCUUUCGGGGGUCCACGAGUGGCGAACGGGUGAGUAACACGUGAGUAACCUGCCCACAACUUUGGGAUAACGCUAGGAAACUGGUGCUAAUACUGGAUAUGUGCUCCUGCUGCAUGGUGGGGGUUGGAAAGCUCCGGCGGUUGUGGCUGGACUGGCGGCCUAACCGCUUGUUGGUGGGGUAGUGGCCUACCAAGGCGGCGACGGGGAGCCGCCCUGGGAGGGUGACCGGCCACAUUGGGACUUAGAGAAGGCCCAGACGCCGACGGGUGGCAACAGUGGGGAAGCUUGCACGAGCGGCGCAGGCCUGAUGCAGAAGCUCUGCGGGCGGGAUGACGGUCUUAGUGUGGUAAACCGCUUUCAUCAGGGACGAAGCUUUUUGUGACGGUACCUGAAGAAGAAGCACCGGCUAACUACGUG
rnacentral:rRNA from 1 species